CUAGUAUAGACGCGUCGGGGGCGCGGCUUAAAGUGGGCCACGCCCCGAGCGGUAUUUGUCAAUGAGCGGAAGCGAGAGGUAGGCGGUGCCGAGAGACUUCAGGACUCGCCUACCCGCGCUAUGGACGAUUUACAUAAAGUUCUCCAGGUUCUGUGCAGAAAAGAAUCGGUCUGGUCUUCUGUAGGAGCUAAGAUUCUAGAGUGGAGAGCCCUACCUGUAAGGUUCACUGACGGACCUCGUCACAGCCUGUCCCAUAAACAACAUCACUCACAGACAGAAGACACCUGCUGUACCAGUGAGUAAAUAUCCUCACGAUAACCCUGUGAGAUAGCUUUUGGGCCAUUUUACAAACUAAGAACCUUGACCGGCAUUCUCAGGUAACCUAUCUCCAGAUCGUGCACUAUCACCAUUACCACAGAAAGGGAAAGAGAAAACAAUCCCCGCUCCUUUAGCUUCUGAAGAUUUCCCCUCUGCUUCUCUCAACUCUGGGAGGAUCCACCUCUAGGCCCAGGCCCCAACAACCC